ACAUAGAUCUUAGCUCCGGAAAUGUGAAACCACUGCUGCUGGAGAGGCACAAGAAGACAUAUAAAUCCUGCAGAUAACGCAGUGAUGGAUCAGUAGUGGCAAGACAUUAACCUUCACUCUUGAGGAGACACCCAAAUGAUAACACCUGUAGCCACGCCACUCCGGAGUUAUCUGUCUUGUCACUUGAGAAGAUAAAUCUAUCUGACCUGAACCAUCACUCUACGCCCCUCUGGCUCGCUCGCUCAGAGUCCUCACAGAUACAGGCAGGGAUCAGGAAAAUCACACCUAAUAAUCAAUUGAGUGUGUGUAACAGGGCUCACAUGGAAACCAUUUCCCCACAGUACGCUAAAAUAAUUCUGCAGAGCAGGGAAAAACAUGGCAGGAUUGAAGGCCAGUCUGCAGGGAGAGUGCUACAUGUCAGUGACAACUGUGGAAGGACAGAAAACAGCUACCAAAACCUUAAGGAGCUGUCACGCACAGGAAAAAGGGCAAGAUGCAUUUUCCUGGCCACCGAAAUGGUUUGGGGAUGAAGAGUUGUGCUCGUGCAGCUGUGGCAAUGCUAUUCUGGCUUAGCUGAAAAUACAGAGCUGAACUCAUGUGUGGGCCUUCAAGAGGCUGUCCCGGAGACCGCAAGAUUAGAGGAGCGGACCACGACCUGCAAGGCCAAGGUCUGUGCCCAGCUGCACGGAGGGAUUCUCGGGCGAGUCACAAGAUGUUCUCCACCUCCGUUUCCACAGAGAUAAAAGAAGGGCAGGGAAACCGAGCUGGCCGGAGAGCACAUCUCCAAGGGAAGGCCCUUUGCAGCACGGAGUGGCCUUCCCACUCCUUUAGGCUAAGCUGCCUGACCCUCUAAGAGAUGCGGAGGAGCAGAUCCGUAGCUAAACCCAAGGAUUUCUCCAAAGUUUAAAGAGGGAAAGAAUAACGCAGCUCCCCACCCCACAGCCCAUCCUUAAGCUCCUCUACCCCACCCCAACCAACUCCCAUUUCCCCCGUGUUUUCCCAGAGACCACUUCUGACCCCUGGUGGGUCACAGAUUUUGGAUGCCCAGCCCUGUGUGCUCCUGCUGCUGGGAAGGCUGCCAGACAGACGCUGGGCAGCCAGAAACAUCGGGACGAGGCAGGAAUUGCAGCCAGCCCUUGUCCAACCGCCUCCUGUCCAAACACUCGCUAGAGAUCUAACAGCACAGAAAAAAAAAAAAAAAAAAAAAAGGAAAGCGCGGGAUAACCCCAGCAUCCUGGCCAACAUCUCCUCUCGCUGGGCUGCGAGAGCUAUUGUCAGGCACAUAAUGACUGCUCCACCGGCUCCACUGCCAGCAUUCAGCUCAUUACUUUGCAAAGUGCUUUGAAACGCACUGAAUACGCAAGGUGCUCUAUCAGCCCAAAUUCAGCUCUGUUUGAUAUUACAAUGCAGCGUGUUUUACCGCACGCCUUUUGUCUGCCUCUUUUGAUGGUACCCAGUUGUUCCCAUAAUUCAGUAUUCCGGAGUCAUUAGUUGGAAUUAGUAAAGUCCUGCUGACGGACUUUCCUGAGGCUCUGUUCUCGGGCUACAAAGAGACGACUGGGAGUUGUCCUGCGUUCCCAAAGGCAGAGCUGCCAUGGGGGUGUCCCGGGGGGAGCAGACAGACAGAAAUGCUGGACAGAUGGACUGCAGUGUGGUCAGAGGGGGUGUUCAUGGCCAAAAGGGAACCUACAAAUGCAUUCAUCUGGUUCCUUUUUACAGCACCAGCUGAAGGGCUUCACCCCAGCUGCUUUUAGACAGCACAUCCUACAGAGUUCAUGUUUCUCUUCCAGGAAUUCCCUGCCCUUGGUGUCAGGGCACCAGCACCCAAGUAUUCAUCUCCUUCUAGCUUCUGGCUGUCCUCCUGGGUCUCACACUCGGACUCAGGGGGAAGCCCAGGAGAGAGAGAGACGGCGGCUGCAUCUACAGUGCUGCACUAAAAGCCCUCGACAGACCUUCAGUCCUCAAGUUUCCCCGAUCGGUUCUUGAAGCCACUUUUACUUUUGGCAUCCGCAACAUCCUGUGGCAACAAGUUCCACGCUUUAAUUACACCUUUUAUGAAAAAGUGCUUCCUGCUGUUUAAAGCCUCUGCCCAACCGUUUCAUGCUUUUUCUCUAGCUCUUGUGUUUGCAGGACACAACAAACAAUGGUUCCUCCUGCACCUCUACACCACAUAGGGUUCACGUGCCCCACUUGCAGACCUCUCUGGUCCUUCUCCUCCAGAGGACCUCUGAAAAGACCCCAUUCAGCUAAGAAAAUGCACAGUGUCCUCUCUGAAACAGCCCCCCACCGAGCUCCAUGUCCUGUACAUCCACCCUGCAGCAUCAAAACACCUUAAAACGCACCCUCAACUUUACACGAGGGAGCAGUCCUGCCAAAAUCAAGGUGUGAUGAUCACGUAUUGAUGAUCUGGCUGCACAAACCAACCCGGCUGUGCUGAGCUGUGAUCCCCAGCACCCCUCCCUGCCUCUCCUCCCCACCCAGCAUCACCAGCCCAGAAUACAACCAGACUGCUCCCCAGAGCAUAAAUACCAUUGAGGACAUGCUGCAUGCCUGCGCUGGGAGAACCAGCACUCUGGAGAGAUCAGAGAUGCUUUCUGCCUCACAGCCCCAAGGUCUUUGCCUUUCACUGGCGUGCUUCGCAGCACAGAUGCACUUAAAAUUCAAGCUCACAGCAGCUCUCCUUUUAUUUUAAGAGAUUUAUAUCCCCCCCUAAAUUAAAAAGUUUCUCUCUCUUGAGCCAGGAGAGCUGUGGAGAGCAGGUGACCUUGGCAAGCUCCUUCCCACCUGCCCAUACACCUGGGCAAUAGGCCUAAUUGGCACGGGUGUUAAUUAAAGGCAGCUCCUUGGAAGCUAAUGGUGCACUGCAGCUGAAGAGCAGCAGCGGAGAGACACACAGCUUUAUGUGCAGAUGCACAGCUGAGAGCAAAGGUUAUAACAAAUUGAAGAACAACCGGCUGUGCUGAGCCCAUGUAGCAGUGGUGCUGGGGACACAGCUGCCUCGAUGCUCCCUGCCAGCACCCUUGUGCCUGUGUGUGCAGGUGAAUGAGGACUGGAGAAGCUGGAACAACGUUUUCUAUCCCAUUUUGACUCACCUAGCAUUUAGUUAUGGAUUUUUUCCUCUUGCUGUGACUGCCUCAUUAAAGACCCCGGAGGUGUAUGAAACAGUGGGCAGCCAGGCCCUGGGGCUCUGGGGACGCUGUAGAAAAUGCAAGCACUUUGAUAUUUGUGACACUUUUCCUUUCACAAGUAAAUCUGAGCUGGUUUGGCUCGGCACACAUGGAGCUGCCAGGGAAGGGGACGCACAGCCGCUGCAUUCAGAGGGCAGUGCUGGGUCCCUGCUCUGCAGUGCUGCCAAAAACACCCCUGCAACUGCCUCAGAAGCCAGGGCUGGGCAGCUGCAGAUCAUCAGCUGCCUUCAUGCCUCUCCAAAUCCUCCGAUUUUACAGCAGCAAGCAUCAGACCUCAGCUGAGGAUGUGCUGAAGUGGCCUGAGAUCAGACUCCAGGCAGCUGUUUUCU